rnacentral:rRNA from 1 species
AGGUGUGAUCAUACCAGCACUAAUGCACCAGAUCCCAUCAGAACUCCGCAGUUAAGUAUGCUUGGGCGAGAGUAGUUCUAGGAUGGGUAACCUCCUUGGAAGUUCUGUUGUUGCACCCC